rnacentral:rRNA from 1 species
UUGGUCCUACGGGAGGCAGCAGUGAGGAAUAUUGGUCAAUGGGCGCGAGCCUGAACCAGCCAAGUCGCGUGAGGGAGGACGGCCCUACGGGUUGUAAACCUCUUUUGCCGGGGAGCAACGGGCGUCACGUGUGGCGCCACUGAGAGUACCCGGAGAAAAAGCAUCGGCUAACUCCGUGCCAGCAGCCGCGGUAAUACGGAGGAUGCGAGCGUUAUCCGGAUUUAUUGGAUUUAAAGGGUGCGUAGGCGGAUCGUUAAGUCAGUGGUCCAAUUGAGGGGCUCAACCCCUUCCCGCCAUUGAAACUG